rnacentral:rRNA from 1 species
GACAGAGGGUGCAAACGUUGCUCGGAAUUACUGGGCGUAAAGCGCACGUAGGCGGCUCUUUAAGUCGGGGGUGAAAUCCUGGAGCUCAACUCCAGAACUGCCUUCGAUACUGUAGAGCUUGAGUUCGGGAGAGGUGAGUGGAACUGCGAGUGUAGAGGUGAAAUUCGUAGAUAUUCGCAAGAACACCAGUGGCGAAGGCGGCUCACUGGCCCGAUACUGACGCUGAGGCACGAAAGCGUGGGGAGCAAACAGG